GUGCAGUUUUUAAGAGAUGCUGGCAAUCAAACUCCGGGCUUCCUGUGUGUUCGGCAAGUACUCUUCCAACUGAGCCACAUCUCUAGCCCUGCCCCUUUUAAAAAUGUUUAACUGUAGACAUCUGUAGCCAAAGUCUAACUGUAGUCCAGGUUAUCCUGGAACUCACUAGGUAGCGCAGGCUAAACCCAAAUCCAUGGCAAUCCUCCUGCCUGGGCCUUCAAAGAACUGGAAUUAUUGGCUUGAACCACCAUACCCCCACAGCCAUGCUUGCUUUGUGUGAAGUAGCCUGUUAAUGCUUUUGGCCCAGUGUCAGGGUCAACAUGGCCCCCACCCCCACCCUGAGUCUCCCUGAGGCAGCCAAAGAGUCCUCACCUGAUAAUGGAGCAGAUUCCCCGGACACCAUCAUAGUAGUCCCUAUAGCAGCCCCAGCCACUGGCCUGAAUGGUCUUUCAAGUCUUCUGACUCCUUUUUAUCCCCCACUAAGUGGCUAUUCUAAGCUUUCUCCUCCCUCAGGAUCACCUAUGUCUUCUACCUUCUCUUCAAUUUCCUCUUUCUACUUGACAGAGAGACCUCCCUGAGAUAUACCCACUUGUGUUUUACAGACAACCUCAGACAUCCUUAGCUUCCCAUCAUGGCUCAGUGUCCCAGGAAAAUACAAUUCCUGUGGAUGAUCUCUGUUGAUAUCAGCCACCUGCUAUGCCUGGCAAGACACCUGUUGUUGUACCAAAAAGCUACCUCCUGGGGACUUAAAGAGCUUUUAUGUUUAUAUUUUGAGACAGCAUCUGUAAUGGCUAUUCCUGGUUGUCAACUUGACUAUAUCUGGAAUAAAAUACAAUCCAGAAUUGAAAGACUCACCUGUGAUCCUGAUCUUGAGGCUGGGAGAUAGAAGUUUCUGACCUGGAUCUUGGCAUGAAGAUCUUGAGGCAUAAUGGCUAUGAAUCCCAGGAGACUAAGGCAAGGAGAUCUCGGAGUUCAAGGUCAUCUGGGACAAAGCAAAUCCCACCAGAUCCAGAUGUGGUGGUACACAUCUUUAAUCUGGGCCACACUUUCUGCUGGAGACCUACAUAGAUCUUUGGGCUUCCACUCACAGCUGACCAUUGUUGGGGAGUUGGACUACAGACUGUAAGUCAUCAUAACAAAUUCUCUUACUGUAUAGAGACUACUCAUAAGUUCUGAGACUCUAGAGAACCCUGACUAAUACAGCAUCUCACUUGAUAGCCCUGAACCUGAGAUGCUCCUGCCUCAGCCUCUAGAAUGCUGAUAUUACAGGCACUGCUACCACACUGGUCUCCAACACUGUCUUUGUUGCUGGCCUAAAGGGCAUUCUGUAGACCCCUCCUCACCAUUAUGCAUUUCCACAUUUUGUCAGAACUUCUCUGGCUUCUUUCUCUUGACCUGAUUUCUCCCUUUCUCCUCCGUCAGCAUUCUUUUGUCCUGCACGGCUACUUGACAUUCCCCAUGUGUUGUCCUCUGCUUGGGUUUCCUUUCUUGCUUUUCUUUUUUUCUCUUAUGGUAAUACUGGGGAUUAAACCUAGGAUCUCAUCAUUGAAGACAAGCAUUUUGCCACUGAGCUACAAUCCCAGCCUUUCCCUCUAGGGACAGCUUCUUGGGUGACAGCUGAAGCCCCUUCACAGUGGCUCCACAUCCAUCUGACAGGGUUGCUCCAGUCUCUGAGUAGCCCAGCUGGUCUCUCCCUCCACAUGCAGCAUCUGCCACUGAACUUCCUCCACCCUCACACUGCCUUUUCACGCCCCAGUAAAUGAGACAGCAUCUUCCCUAGCCCAGAGCCAGGAGGAUGUAGUACACUACGACUGCUGUAGCAAAACACAACGGAGUAAUUGGGGGGAGUUUCGAGACAGGGUUUCUCUGUAUAGCCCUGGCUGUCCUGGAACUCACUCUGUUGACCAGGCUGGCCUCAAACUCAGAAUCCACCUGCCUCUGCCUCCCAAGUGCUGGGAUUAAAGGCGUGCGCCACCACUGCCUAGCGACACAGUAAUUUAUAAACAACUUUAUAGCUCACAGUUCUGGCUCCUGGGAAGUCCAAGAUCAGGGUGUCAGCAGCACAGCAUCUGAGAGGGCUGUCUGUCCGAGACCUAGCUCAGGCACCCAUACACAUGCGGCAGACACAUACACAAAUACAUGAAAUACAAAUAUUAAAACCAAAACUUGGGGGGGGGCGAGUGGGGACAUCCUCUAGGAGACAGGAGGAGGAGGAUCUUUGCAAGGGUGGACACAGAGGAGGCCAAUGACUAGACUAUAAAAAAUAAAAGUAACAAAACAAAACAAAAAGGCAUAGUGAUAUACACCCUAAUCUCAGCUGUUAUAAGGAGGGUCACUUACUGAACCAAUUGCUGUUGUUAGACAUUAAAGGGCAAUCUAUGUUUUCAUUUUGUAAAUGAGAACCAGUAUUAAAAACCUUUAUGUGUGUUGGGGUCUAAAGAAAUUGCUGAGUAGUUAAGAGUACUUGCUCCACAAAGGACCUGGGUUCGGUUCCCAGCACCCACAUGGUAGCUCACAGCUGACUUUAGCUCCAGUUCCAGGGAAUCUGAUGCCCCUUCCAGCCUUCACAGGCUCCUACAUGCGUGUGAUGCACAUACAUACAUUUAGGCACAUAUACACAUAUACAAUUAAAUAAAUUAACAUUUUAAAAAAUGUUUCACAUGAGCAAACGCUUCAAUGCUCACAUUUAAAUAGCAUCUAAAUGGUCAUGUUGUCAUUAACAGUCUGGGGAACUUAAAUAUUGUGUUUAAUUUCAUGUAUAUAUAUAUAUAUAUAUCAGGGUUUUACUGCUGUGAACAGACACCAUGACCAAGGCAAGUCUUAUAAAAAACCAACUUUUAAUUGGGGCUGGCUUACAGGUUCAGAGGUUCAGUCCAUUAUCAUCAAGGUAAGAGCAUGGCAGUAUCCAGGCAGGCAUGGUGCAGGAGGAGCUGAGAGUUCUAUGUCUUCAUCCAAAGGCUGCUAGUGGAAGACUGACUUCCAGGCAACUAGGGUGAGGAUCUUAUACCCACACCCACAGUGACAUACCCAUUCCAACCAGGUCACACCUAUUCCAACAAGGCCACACCUUCAGAUGGUGCCACUCCCU
rnacentral:lncRNA from 1 species